CGCCCGCGGGCCGCCGGGCCCCGGUCUCCGCCCGGGCUCGGUCAGUCGGUACCUUCAUGAAGGUCUCUACCGCGCCUUUGGCCGUGUCCAGGACCCUGAUUGAUAUAUAUGCUGAACCCUAACAUGAACAAGAGCCAGUUGUUAAACAUUUAUAAGCAUACUGUUGGAUACAGCGAACCUGAGGCAAUCUCUUAAUGUGGGAGCUGAGAAAACUCACACCCAGACCUUGUUUUCAAGAUGGAAAAAAACCCAACUCAAUAGGGAGCCAGAGAACACUGGAGCCUCUUGAUCGGUCUGUUCAAACCACCCUCUGGGGGAGACAGCAGAUGGAGGAGAGUGGAGAGGGGAGAGUGGAUACCUUCCUAUCCAUUCUUAUCACCCCUGAUUUCCCACAGCAAUGGAGACCUUAAGUGACCCUGCUCAAGAUGAACUGUCCUAGAAUAAAAUUUGAUUGGCCAACUUCAGUCAGUGAUUACUCUUGGCAAGAAGACAGGGUUCCUUGACUGACAGUCCCACGGAGACUCUCCUAAUAAGGAGCCCGUUAUCUCCAACAAGGAAUUCAGAGUGCUCUUAAGAACAGGAGGGCGAAUGGGUGCUGGGAAGCCAAGUAACAGCAAAUGUCCACUUCCAUCUGGGACAUGACCUUGCUACAGGGCCCCUCCUGAGUUGGGGGUGGGGGGCAGGGACCAUUAACGUGGAAGUAAUUGAGAAUUAAUUGUUCUUUAAAAAUCUCCAGGCAUAACGUCGAUAGUUCAGAAUGUAACACUAUUUGACAUUAACAGAGCUCACACUGAAAAAUCACAGGCCAAGAGCCCUAUGAAGGCUUGUCUGUGUUCAUCACUGUUUUGCAGCAUCUAGAACAGUGCAGUAUUCAAGAAAACGUUUGCAUGAGUGUAUCAAUGUGCCUAGUGCUGUGAGAGAAGGAAAUGGAUUUUAUUUUUAAGUCAUCUCUACACCGAAGGUGGGGCUUGAACUCACCACCCUGAGAUCCCCUGUCGAGUGCUGUACCGAUGACUAAGCCAGCCAGGCGUCCCUGCAUCAACUUUUCAACUGAAGAUUAUGUCAUGCAGAAUCAACUCACACCAUAAGGAUAUGUCCACAUGGAUCAUAAAUAAAAGCAGGGUGUUUACAGAAUGGACCCACUUGUGCUCUCUGUGAGCCUCCAACUAUCGUCAUCUCUGUAACUAUAGUUAUCUCCACCCCCCGAUGUGACUGUAUUGGAGAUAAGGCCUUUGAGGAGGUGAUUAAGGUGAAAUGAGCUCAUGAGGGUGGAUCCCUGAUCCCAUAGAACUGGCUUCUAAGAAGAGGAAGAGACACCAGAGGUCUCUCUCUCUCUCUCUC